GGCUCAGGACGAACGCUGGCGGCGUGCCUAACACAUGCAAGUCGAGCGGGGACAUGCGACGGAUAGGAAGAUUCGGUUGGACUUGAAGAUGCAUCGUUCUAGCGGCGGACGGGUGAGUAACGCGUGAGCAACCUGUCCCUUACAGGGGGAUAACACAGCGAAAGUUGUACUAAUACCGCAUAAGACCACGGGAGGACAUCCUUCAGGGGUCAAAGGAGGAAUCCGGUAAGGGGUGGGCUCGCGUCCGAUUAGAUAGUUGGUGAGGUAACGGCCCACCAAGUCGACGAUCGGUAGCCGACCUGAGAGGGUGAUCGGCCACAUUGGGACUGAGACACGGCCCAAACUCCUACGGGAGGCAGCAGUGGGGAAUAUUGGGCAAUGGGGGGAAACCCUGACCCAGCAACGCCGCGUGAGGGAAGAAGGUUUUCGGAUCGUAAACCUCUGUCCUUGGUGAAGAGGAAGAGACGGUAGCCAAGGAGGAAGCCCCGGCUAACUACGUGCCAGCCGCCGC
rnacentral:rRNA from 1 species